AUUGAACGCUGGCGGCAGGCCUAACACACGCAAGUCGAACGGUAACAGGAAGCAGCUUGCUGCUUCGCUGACGAGUGGCGGACGGGUGAGUAAUGUCUGGGAAGCUGCCUGAUGGAGGGGGAUAACUACUGGAAACGGUAGCUAAUACCGCAUAAUGUCGCAAGACCAAAGAGGGGGACCUUCGGGCCUCUUGCCAUCGGAUGUGCCCAGAUGGGAUUAGCUUGUUGGUGGGGUAACGGCUCACCAAGGCGACGAUCCCUAGCUGGUCUGAGAGGAUGACCAGCCACACUGGGACUGAGACACGGUCCAGACUCCUACGGGAGGCAGCAGUGGGGAAUAUUGCACAAUGGGCGCAAGCCUGAUGCAGCCAUGCCGCGUGUAUGAAGAAGGCCUUCGGGUUGUAAAGUACUUUCAGCGGGGAGGAAGGGAGUAAAGUUAAUACCUUUGCUCAUUGACGUUACCCGCAGAAGAAGCACCGGCUAACUCCGUG
rnacentral:rRNA from 1 species